UACAGAGGUCCCAAGCGUUGUUCGGAUUCAUUGGGCGUAAAGGGUGCGUAGGCGGCGCGGUAAGUCGGGUGUGAAAUUUCGGGGCUUAACUCCGAAACUGCAUUCGAUACUGCCGUGCUUGAGGACUGGAGAGGAGACUGGAAUUUACGGUGUAGCGGUGAAAUGCGCAGAUAUCAGGAGGAACACCAAUGGCGAAGGCAGCACUCUGGGACGUGACUGACGCUGAGACGCGAAAGCGUGGGGAGCAAACAGG
rnacentral:rRNA from 1 species